GGUUCAGGACGAACGCUGGCGGCGUGCCUAAUACAUGCAAGUCGAACGGUCUUUCUAUGGAAGCUUGCUUCCACUGAGAAGAUAGUGGCGAACGGGUGAGUAACACGUGGGUAACCUGCCCAUAAGAGGGGGAUAACAUCCGGAAACGGGUGCUAAUACCGCAUAGUUUUCUUGAUCGCAUGAUCGGGAAAGGAAAGACGGCCUUUGUGCUGUCGCUUAUGGAUGGACCCGCGGCGUAUUAGUUAGUUGGUGAGGUAACGGCUCACCAAGACGAUGAUACGUAGCCGACCUGAGAGGGUGAUCGGCCACAUUGGGACUGAGACACGGCCCAAACUCCUACGGGAGGCAGCAGUAGGGAAUCUUCCGCAAUGGACGAAAGUCUGACGGAGCAACGCCGCGUGAGUGAAGAAAGGGUUUUCGGAUCGUAAAACUCUGUUGUCAGAGAAGAACAAGUUGGAGAGUAACUGCUCCAGCCUUGACGGUAUCUGACCAGAAAGCCACGGCUAACUACGUGCCAGCCGCAGC
rnacentral:rRNA from 1 species